UGGGGAAUAUUGGGCAAUGGGGGAAACCCUGACCCAGCAACGCCGCGUGAGGGAAGAAGGCUUUCGGGUUGUAAACCUCUGUCCUUGGGGACGAAGUAAGUGACGGUACCCAAGGAGGAAGCUCCGGCUAACUACGUGCC
rnacentral:rRNA from 1 species